UAAAUCUUGCUGCAUCUUUUUUGUAAAAAUAAAAAAUAAAAAUUGCUUUGUUUCUAUUCCAUUCAGCUUAUAGUUUCGAUUAUUGUUCUGUCUAUAUCAUGAAACUCUUUUACUGUAUUUUCUGUAAGCUGUUUUUUGCCUAAAUUGUUUAGAUUCAAAAUUUUCAGCUUGAAAUCUUGAACUCUUUUUAUGCCUUUGUUAUGAUUAUAUUUCUGAUAUUUAUGUCAUAACCUAAAUUAUUUGGAAUGGUUGCAGAAGCGUUAGCAUUAGAGAUUGCCCGAAUGUUCAUAUCAGAGUUGAAUUUGAAGGUUAAUUAAAUUCUGGUAGACCACUUUGAAAGAUUUGAUUUCCUUGGUCUUACCUAUUUCUUCAUUCUCAUCUGAAAUGCCCUGCUGCAGCGGUUGCUUGUAGUAGAAUUUCUGUCCAUCUAUGAUGAAAAAGUGGCCGAAGCCAUGGGAUUGCAAUGGUCUGACGAACUCUAUGAGGGAGAAUUUGAUGAUUUGGCUACAUUGAACUUGUACUCGGCAGAAACUCAGAAACCAAAUCCUCCAUCACUUAGAAAUUGCAACUCUAGUACUUCAAACAUGCAAUCCAAACGGCAGCAAGAUAGCAAUGUUUUACAGGUAUUGGGCUCACUUCAAUUUAGCCGUGAAUAUCUGUGGCAAGUUGUAUUUUUAUUAAUGUCCGAAUGUUAAAGUAUGCACUGUUACAUGGACAUGAAUGCAUUGACAUGUUAUCUUUAUGCAAUUAAUUGAGUCCCUUCCUGAUCUUGUUCCAUAUUCACACUUUUUUGCAUUCUUGUAUAGUAAAAUUGUGCUGAUGCAUCCCUGAGUUACUGAUCAGCAAUCGUAUAUCUUCUAUAAGUACAAUGCAUAUGCUGAAAUUGCAGUAUUAUGCAAACAUUUGGAUAGUGUAUAUAUAUUUUCAGAAGUCAUAGAUCCAAUAUAUCAUAUAUGUAUCCAGUAUAUUUAUUGACAUGUUUGCACGAAGACAAUAAUGUGAAUAUUUGUGUGCAUACAUAUGCAUGUACAGGUGUUGAUAUAUCCAUGCUGAUCCAAAAGGACGCAACCUUAUUCUUAAUUAUCCGUCUCUGAUAUACAGAUUUACAUAACAACCUGGUUGGCAGAGGUGAACAUAGAUAAAUGCAGGUAAGAUCAACCUUACAACCUUCUCGUACUCAUCUAAAUGCUUGAUUGCCGGUUUCUGAAAUUUUAGUUCUCAUCAUGCUCUCUACAUAUGUUACUAAUUGUCUCCAUGAUUGUAGAAUGAAUAGUUGUAAAUAUUCUCAACUUAAAAAUUAUAGUAUAUAAAAAUAUUCUUGUUAUUUAGGUUUAUGAUGUAUAUACAUGUCUGAAGGAGUUAUACAUAGACUAGUACCAUAUCAUACACAGGUGUUGCCCAAGUGCGCAUUUGGAUGUCAACAAAUCGAGCUUGGGUACAAUGUAUAUAGAUUUUCUAUCUUUAUACCUAUCCAUGAUAUUUUAAUUUAGUUUUUUUUUUAAUUUAAAAAAUGGCUAUAUCUCUGUUAUCAAUAAUAAAAAUGUCAGCGAGUCACCGUAGAUGGAAAGCAAGAAUGCAAACCAUUGUUCUCUUAUCAAUCCCUUUCAUUGCAAAGUGUUGUAACUAUUUCCUUUUAUAGGGUGGAGGAGAUAUUUGGUAUCGCAGGAGGGGAAAUGCAUGUCGACUUUCUUGAAAUAUCUGGUUGAUAAAUUCGAUUUCGAUUAGCCUGCCAACUACCGCUGGUUUAUGCAAGAAUGUAAGAGCUGGUUCAUCUGAUUAUUCUCUUGUUAAUAGCAUCAUAUGCGAUAUGUGACACGAUUAAAAUUUGUACUUAGGGAUGCUUAUUUUGCAUGAUUGAUAAGAUAUAUGAUUUUAUUUGUGAGAAUAGGAUUUCUCAAAUCCCACCUUGUCAACGGGACAUAAAUCAAACAAACUUAACUUAAAUGAUAGAAAUAAUCAAGGUUUUGAGAUAUUUUCAAUUUAUUUAAGUAAAUAAGAGAUUAGUUUUAUUAUUUUGAUAUAUCAAGGUUAUCCUCAAAAGUAAACGCUCCCUUGGUAUCAAAUUUAUGAGAGUUGUUCAUCAUUAGGCAAACGGAUUAAGGGGGCGUUUUAUUUGUGCACGGGGUCCACUUUAGACUCUAAGGGGAUGUUUGGUUUGGUGGAUGAGAUUAUUAGUACUCCUUUCGUCCCACAAGAGUGUGCAUCACUUUUGAUGGCACAAGUUUUAAUAAAAUGUUAGAUAAGUGUAUUGAGAGUUGAAAAAAUGAUUCACUUUAUUAUAAAGUAAGAGCUACAAAUAAGGAGUUAGUGGUGGUGUAAAAAGUGAUUCUUUUUAUUAUAAAAUAAGAGUAAGAAAUAAGAAGUUAGUGGUGGGGUAGUGUUCAAAAAUGAUAAAUGCACACUUUUGUGGGACAUUUCAAAAUAGAAAUAAGAGCACACUCUCAUGGGACGGAGGGGACGGAGGGAGUAUUAAUAUGAUAUAGUAGGAUUGGACUAUUUUGGAUUAUUUAGUUGUGUUCGAAUUGCUUGAUCAAAUGAUGUUAUGAUAUAUUGAAGGAUUAUAUCUAAAAUGUAGCAUAAUUUCAAGAUCUCCAUGUUGAUAGAAGGGCUAUAUCCCCUUAAUUUGCAUAGAAUUUGCAUUAUGAAAACAUAAGAUUAAAGUAGAUUAUUUUAUCAAUUAAAUCUUAUCGAUCUAAUAAAUCACCUCCCUAAUCUCAAUCCUUCAUGAAAUGGUAUGCAUCACGUAACGGUUAAGCUUAUUAAAGCAAAUGAUAAUACAGAGAAAUCCAGAAAUUUAAGUGUUAGAUACAAAACAACAGAAAUGGUAAUUUAACUUAUAAACAAGAAGAAAAUAAAAAAAACAAAAACAAAAACAAAAAAGAGGCAAGAAUCAAUACCAAGAAGCAUGAGAGCUAUAUAAUUUUAUUAUUCAUUUUAUCUUAACACUAAAAAUGCUUUUUUAAAUUAUACUCCAUUUGUCCCUAAAAAUUGUGGAUCAAAAGAGAUGAGAAAGGUUUAAAGAAAAAAUGUGAUAGUUGUGUUUAAGUGGAGAUUGAGUUUCACAUUUUUUUUGUAAAUAGUGAGAGAAAACGUUUGUGAGGUCAUUUCCAAAUUAGAAAAGACCAUAAUUUUCAGGGACAUCGCAAUAUAGUAAUAAAGCCACAAUUUUUAGGGACGGAGGGAGUAUUAAACAUUAAAUUUAAAAACAUAAAAUUCAUUAAAAUUAAAACUCAAUAUUACAAUAAUUAAAAAAUGCAAUAAUUAAAAAUCAAAUUAAAAUUUGUGAAAAAUUAAAAAUAGAAUCAAAAUUUGUGAAAAUUUUACCAAUUAGUCUUGUUCUCGAUAAAAGAAAAAACACAAAUGGCCUUUAAAUGUAGGGGUAUGACAAAAAAAUACACAAACUUUGGUGAAAAAUGUCAUUUUCAUAUGACCUUUUAAUUAAGUCAAAAAAUACAUGAAAUUAUAUUAUUAUAAUUUUCACCUAAUUUUAACUUUUGGAAAAAUUAAAGCUUAGUUGACAGUAAAAAAAAUUGAUGCAAAGUUCAUUUCCCUUGCAAGGAUGCUUUUGUGUUGAACUUUGACGCAUUUUAAUAACCUUGCCCUUGCUUUUCCCUUUUACUUGUAUGAACUUUCAACAACCAACUAAACUCUAAUUUCACCGGAAGUUAAACUCAAGUGAAAAUUGUAAUUGAAAUAUAAAUUUAUAUAUUAUUUGACUUAUUUGAAAUUUCAGGUGGAAAUUACAAUUUUCACCAAAGUUGGUAUUUAAAUUGCAACAAAACAUGUAUAUAUAUGGCAACAAAACAUUGUUUCUUAAGCAAUUGAAUGUCCGAAUAUUUUUUAAAAUGAACUUGAUUUCAUUCAUUUUAGAAAUAUCCACUCAUAUUAUCUCAAAUCGGUAUUUUGUAAGUAUAAUAUAUUAUAUAAAAAAAAUUAUGAUUUUAUUAUAUAAUUUGCUUAUAACAUUUCAUGAAUUUGGAUUUCAAUUACAUUAAUGUGCUGAUAUUCUUGGGGAGGUCAAGAUCAAAAAUAUUAAUGUAGAUUGUGUAGAAAUGAAACAUUAGUUGAUGCAGAGUAAGUUUUUCAAUUCUUCGUUGAAUAAUGAUUUAGUUUUUUUUCAUUUUUAAUUAUGCUGUUAAUUAUAUAUCUGACAGUGGCACACGAGUAACUUGCGUAGUGUGAGAACUAUAUGUUGAUGAAAUCAAUAUGUUUAUGGAGAGCAGGUCAAGUGAAGAUAAAGAGCCAGUAAUAAUUGCUUUACAAUUUGUUAUGUUAUCAAUAUUUAUAGGUUCAUAUUUCCUUAAUUUGUUAUAAUAUUCAAGUAAGUUAACUUUACAAAGCUUUGCUCACAAUUUAAAUUUUAUUUCAGGUGUAAUCAAAGUUUUCAAUGAUCUCGAUGAAGAAGUAUUUUUGAUUUGACAUCUCAUACGAUCAAGUGUUCAGGAUUGUCGAGUUAUGAAAUUAAUUUGAAAGAAAGAUGCAUAAUCAUGCUUAUCAUAAAUACUGAUCCAUCUAACGAGCUUUGCAAUGACAUUAGACUGGUAGUAACUCAACUCGGGGGACGCGUAAUUAAAGGCAACUCAUUUCAAGAAAAAAUGCGGACAAGAAGUUUUCCAUUUGCUUGGAUGAUUAUGAAUUUAUCGGAUUUCACUAAAUUUCCUUUUCGGUUCUAUAAAAGGCAUUUCUAUGCAAGUGUUUGUUUUGCUAUGAAAAUAAACAAGAGUUAGGACACAUUCUCUUUUGAAUGUAGGAUUAUAUCUACUGAAACUUGUGUUUAGUCAUAAACAAUUUUAUGUGAAAAUCUCCAGAGUCACUAGAAAAAAAAAUAUUUAAAGAUUUUAAUAUGUGAUGAGAGUGGUCAUACACAUGACACAACAACUAACGUGGUGUAUGAUAAAAUUUUCAAUAGAUUAUAAGGUAAUUACAAAUUUAAUUUGUUAAAGUCAUUAUUGAUAUUCCCUCUGUCCAAAUUCAACAUGCCAUAUUUUCUUUAUUUUGACGUCCCAUUUCAAUAGCUCACUUCCUAAAAUGGAAAGUCAACACAUAAUAAGAGCAUCCACAACCCAUGAUCUUCGCCCCGAGUCGAUGCACAUAGUCGGCGCCUCGUCUGCGCUGGAGACACGGGUGAGGUCGACGCCGGGUCUCUACGGUGCAACGGGUUGAUGGCAAAAAAUGGAGUGUUCGUGCACUACACGUGCACGGUUUUUUUUNUUUUUUUUAAAGAAAUAAAUGAGUUGGGGAUUAAAUUUGCAGAGAUGGAAAAUACUUGAUGGGGAAGAAGAAGUGGGAGAGGCAAGUGAAGGGUGUGUGGGCCGAGAGUUGGGCCAGGGUUUGGUUUUUCUUUUUUUUUCUUUUUUUUUUAACUUUUCUUUUAAUUUUUAAAAUUCUAUUUUUUUUUAAUUCUUUUAGUUUUUUUUUAUCUAAUUUUAAAAUCUUGUAUUUUAUUUUAAUUAUUGUAAUGUUUGAAUUUUAAUUUUAAUGAAAAUUUGGAAUCUUAAAAUAAAAGUGUAGAAUUUGGGAUUUUGUGGAAAUAAAGAUUUAAGACACAGGGGCUGUGGAGAGUUGUGUCUUAGGUGGGGACCAUCACCUAAGACACAACCUAAGACAUAAUGGCUGUGGAUGCUCUAAAUAUCACACAUAACUCAUUAUUUACACCAAAUGACAUUGUAUCUCAAACAUAAUUAUCUCUUAGUUAUUUUUCUCUCCUACUUUUUGGACAUAUAUAUUUAAAAAAAUAUAAAAUCUCUCUCCUAUUUUAUUACUUUUAACUAUUCGGUUCUUAACAUCAUUGUCCAAUCCUUGUGGCCUAUUGAAUUGGGAUGGAUGGAGUAUUAUUUAAUUCAUUAUAUUUUUUUGUCCAAUGAUUGAUUGCAACUACAAACAUCUAAUUUAGGUAAAUUUCAAAUAAAUAUUAUAAUUUCUCUUUUAAAAUUUUGUAGGUCAGUACUCUGUUUAUAUAUACAUUUCAUAAGACAUCUAAUUUAGAUAAAUUUUAAAUAAUUGUAGUAUAUUUUUUAUUUUAAAGUCUUUCGUUCAAUACUCUAUUUUAAAGAAUGAAAUUCAUGAAAAAAAAUAUAUUAAAUAAUUCCAUAAAUUUAUAUAAUAAUGAAUUUCGUCGAAUUUUAAUGGGCUAUUACUAGUUUAUUUGACUAAAAAUAAAAGGUACUACUAAGAGCCUGUCUAGCCAUGUUUAUUUUAAAGAACUUAUAAGUUUGGGAGAGAAAUAUAUGUUAGAGAAAAAAAAAAUUAAAUAAAAAUAAACUUGAAAGGAUAUAUGAUAAAUACAAUAAAUUAUGAUUAAAUAAUAUUUGUAACUGUAUAAAAUUAUGAAAAUAUAAGUUGGAGUAGAUAAAUUUAUAAACUAUUAAAAUUUAUUAAUUUUUAGGAUUUAUAAAUUGUUUUAAAAUGUAUUUAUUAAAUAAUUAAAAAAAACUUAUAAGAUUCUAAACAAUUUAUAAGUUUUUUAACUUUAUAAAUGUUUAUGUUUCUUUGUUUGAUAAAUUUAUCAUAGAAAAAUGAGAAAUAACAAAAGAAUCUUUUUAAAUCUCUUCUUCUUUUCCUCAUUUUCUAUAAAAGAGAUAUUCACGCAUUCAUCAUUUUCACUCUAAGGAGAGAUAAUAUCAUCACAUUAAAAAUGAAUAGAUAAUAUUAUCUCUUUAUGAAGUGAAAAUGAGAAUAGUAAAAAAAAAAUUCUUUUACAAAAAAUGAGAGGAAAAAAAAAAGAAUAUUUUUUUAAAAAAAUUGUCCUUACUUUUCACGUGAUAAAUUUAACGAUCAAAGUUCAAAGAGAUCACACGAGAAAUGGUCAAAUUGAGAAAACUUAAGAAUUGGAUGGGGCGAAACCGAAUAAAAGACCAAAUUGAGAAGUUCAAAGAGAAAGCUUAAGAAUUCGUUGGGGCGAAACCGAAUAGAGGGUUUAAAUGUUUAAUACUACCAUUAUUCUAUUUCCGAACCUUUUUUCGAUAUGAUUCGAAAUUGAGACACAUACAAACCCCCAAUUAACGCACACAACACAUAGUUACACAGCACUUUUUUCCUUCUCCGGAGCAGCCGCAAAUUCUCUUGCCCCACGCACUAAAUUACACACAGAGAACACGCAGUAACGAUGGUUGGAGAGGAGAAGCGGCAUCAGAUGAUGCAGAAUUUGUUCGGUGACCAAUCAGAAGAAGAGGAGGAGGAGGAGGAGGAGGUUGAAUCAGAGCACGAGUCUAAUCGUCAACCUGAUUAUGCAUCCGUAUGAAUUUUUUUUAUCUUUUAAUUAUUUUCGAAUCUAAGUUUGCACGAUUCCACUCGGUUAACUGGUGCUUUUUUGUUUGUUUUAUUUUCCUUAUCCAAAUAAUUGGUGCUCUUGAUGGCAUUGUGAUUUCAGCUGUGGCGAAAUCCUAAUUUUAUUCCAGUUUGUUUGUUCGUUCUUUUUUUUUCUUUUUCUUUUUCGUUUUUUUAUAAGAGAAGCGAUUUUUUGUACCGAUUUAUUCAAAGAAUUCAACCUUUUACCAUUAGAUACGUUGUUCUGUGGUUUAAUCGGUAUGCACCGACAUGUAAUUUUUGUGUGCAAGAGGAGUAACUCUGUUGAUACAUCGUGCAAUUUUAUUUUUAAUUGUUCUAAUGAAUCAAUUAUUUCUACAAUUACCUGUAAUUAAAUAUUUUUAUUUUCCAGCUCGAACUCUACUCAAAUUUCAUCACUGUCUGUUUCUCAUUGCUAUUUCAAGCUGCAUGCCUGGAUGCUAAUAUAUCUGUUUGUAAUAUUGUAUAUAUUCCCGCAGUAUGUGCACGGUCAUAUGCCAACAUGCAUAAGUUUUGAUUGCAAUCACAAUUUCGAUCUUUUGAAGUCUAGUAGUUGCUGACUUGCUCUUAAUUCAGACACAAUUCUUACUUUAGAGGACGGGCUAAUUGAAUUGUUUGUAAAUCCUUUAAUAUUUACACAUACAAUGUGAUAUGAGUGUCUAUUUAGACUUCUAUCAAUUUUUUUUGAAGGAAAGACUUCUAUCAAUUUGCAACUUAGUAAGUCACAUCAUACUUUAAAUAAGCACCCCCUCUCAUUGUACUCACAUGUUUACACACAUAGUUUAAUUAAUAUAUAUAUUCAUUUCUGAAAGUAUUUGUUUAGGGUCUGGAAAUUCGUAUUUUUACAGGUGCGAAUGCUGCAUGAAUUCACGAUUUGGAUGCCAAUACUUAUAUGCUGUUGUUAGGAAAAACAUGGGAUAUAAUUCUUUGAGUAUUUAUUCAGCACGGCUUGUGAAUUAUGGUAUGCGUGAUUAAUUAACAAGUUUAGAAGGCCAAUCCUUAAUGAGCCAGCACAUAAGACAUCGUUACACUUCUGAAAGUUAAAGCAUGUGCAUCCUACUCCUUGUUUUGAAUUAAUUAAAGUUGUGAUUGUUUCUUUUUAGGAUGAAGGGGAUGAAGGACCUGAGGCUGAAGGUGAAGGUGAAGUUGAAGGUCAAGGAGAGGCAGAAAUUGAGAGUGAGGGUGAACCUCAGGAUCUUGAUCCUUUACAAGGUGAGAGUGAGGGUGAGAGAGAGAAAAGCUCUCAAGAAUUGGAGAUAGGUAACCAAAGGGAACAAAGUGAAGAAAGGUACUCAGAGAGUGACGAUAAGGAAGAUUAUGGCCAACGAGUUGUUACUAGUAGAAGACACGAUGCAGUUGAAAGUGGGUCAGAACGAUCUGGAGAGAACCAUUAUGUUGCUAAUGAGGAUGAUGAAGUGAAUCAGGCUAGGAGUCACAGGUCCCUUUUUCGAUCUCUUACUUUCCUGUCUCUCUGAGGGAUAUUCUGUUUAUCUUCUACUUGUGCUUAUGCAGUCUCCAACUGCAAUGACCCCAAUAUGGUGUUAUUUUAACUUCAUUGACUAUGUUGAUGUCUUUGGGAAUUUAUUGUUUCAUUCUUGGAAUCAAAUCAAUAUUGAUUCAUUGAUGAUGAAGGUUGAAAGUGGUUGUAUUAGGAGGAAAAUGUAUUUAAAAAUGUGAAUAUGUUUGGUUAUGUUUGGAGAGAAUGAAUCAAUACUGAGGGAGUAUUAAUUGUCACAGCCUAAGUGGAAGAGGUUUGAGGGUGCUCGAUCUUCAAUGUGGGUAUCCAUUCUUAACUUUUCGCCCCCAACACUUAAUUUCUGCUGCAUUAUGUAGCUGUAUUUCAUCAUUCUACCAACCAUGGGAAGUUGCUCCGUCUUUCUUGGGAAUAUAUUUUUCUGGUCAAUUGCUAGAGGACUGCUCAAUUUAUUUUUAAAUCUAUAUAUGUUUAUGGCCUUAUGGGUAUUGAGGUCGAUUCAUGUACAGAGUUUCUACUUGGGGUUGGGAUGAUCUUAUUUGUUGACACUAUCCACUUUCACUACCUUUUUUACUUGCCUGCAUAUCAGUUGACUGUGAGAUUCGAUCUCAACCCUAAAAAGGGAGAGUUUCGACUGAAGUUUAGUUUCAUUGCAACUUUUUUUAAUGUAAUGGUAUAGUGCUGAUUAUAAGGUAGUUCAGUUGAUUAGAAGGUUGAGAAGAAUGGAAAAGAAUACUGUAACACAGAGAGGACAAAGAGAAUUGAUAAUUACCAAUGCCUGACUUUCUUCCUAAACUAAUACAUCCAGUGACACUGCUCAUUUGCAAUUUGUUUGUCUUUAAUACAUUAGUCCAAGAUGUUUAGUGGUCUGGAUUCUGUGAUCUGCAGUGUAUCUGGUGAUGAGAAAGAUGAGGAUCAGUUUUUGCAGUCAGCGCCAGAGAUUCGUGAUGUUUUUGGAGACUCUGAUGAUGAAGAACUAGCAGAAUACAAAGUUCAGGAUCAGACUGAAGAAGAUGAAGUUGUUAGUUGAUGUGGAUUAUAAUAGCACUGUUUUAUUUUUCACUCUGUUUUGCAUAAUGUAAUAUCUUAAGAUAUAUUCCUACCACAGAGAUCCCCAAUUGAAGAAAUGGGGAAUUAUGGGAAAGACUUGAGGCCGGAGGAUAUGAUACCUGAUGAAGAUGCACCGUAUUACUCUGAAGAAGAGCAUAUUGAGGCUAGAGCUAAAGAAAAACCAGUUGGUCCCCCACUAGAGCUGGAAAUUCCUCUGUGCCCUCCACCAUCUGAAUCUGAGAAGGUUUACAUUCAGUUUUCUGGAUUAUUGUUUGAAAUUAAAUUUAUGUAAAGUUACAUCUGGUUCAGUCCUUGAAUAAGUUCAUCAUGCCUGCAUAAUCUCAAAUCUAUAUUGGUCUAGAGUUAAUAUGUCUGGAGUUAUUUCACGAGAAAUCUUAUCUCUUAAUUUUCUUGUCAGUUUGGAAAACUGUUAGCAGAAGGCCAACAAAAUCUUGCAGCAUUUGCUUCUACAGCCUGUCAAAUUUGCAAUUUGUUAAAUUCUUAAUUUGGCUGGUGUAUGAGAUGGGUAGAAAGUAUAAUUUAGUUUAAACAUACUUUUGCUAAUUUUCUGAUUUCCCUAAGAACUUCACUUGAAACAAAAAUGAAGUAAUGGUGGGUGAAUUUUAUGAAUCUGGGACAUGUGUGGUCAUGGAGAAGAUGAAUUAGGUGAGUGGUAAUGGUAUAGGUAGUUUGCCCUUCUUAUAUGACUUCUUGAGAUCCACGGAUUUGAUUUCUUAAUUCCUUUGUACCACAUUCAAGUAUGGCUGAAGGGUGCUAUUUAAUUUAAGUAUCUGGUUGACUUAUGCAAAAACUUUUAUUCUGAUCAAUAACACUCAGUACUUGUGAAUAUGCUAUAUACCUAAGGUUAGGGUUCAUGUGUGUGUUUCUCUUCCUUCUGCAUGAUGCUACUCAUAACUUCAUAGUAAAUCUUUUGGGAUUUCUUCUGUUGCAGAUGAAUAUGAUCAAAGUAUCUAAUAUAAUGGGCAUAGAUCCUACACCGUUUGAUCCACAUACGUAUGUGGAAGAGGAUCAUUAUGAAACUGAGGAAUCUGGAUCUAAAAAGAGGAUAAGAUUGGAGAACAAUGUUGUUCGUUGGAGAAAGGUCAAGCACCCUGAUGGCAGAACAUCUGUAAGUGAAUUAGUUAAUGGAGUUUGUGCCUUGUCAAAUCAUGUGGUCAUUCAUUUUACAUGAAGUUCUUUGAAACUCAAGUGUUGUUGGUUGUAGCAACUUUUCUAAAAUUUUCUAAGAUGGGAGCCUCUAAGGACAUCUUAGUGAUAUUGUUUGAGACUGUAUCAUUUAACAUAAAUUUGUAUUUUAUUUGUGUGGACAAGACAACUAGCCUUCUGCAUGUACUAUAGACUUUUUCAUCAAGAGUCAUUUGCUGCAACUGCCUACUCAAUAUCAGAUUCUUGAUGCAAUUUUUCCUUAACUGAAUAGUAAAUCUGACACUACUUUGUGUAGAUUGAAAGCAAUGCUCGCUUUGUGGAGUGGUCAGAUGGUAGCCUGCAGUUACUUAUUGGAAACGAAGUGCUCGAUAUAUCUAAGCAAGAUGCUCAACAUGAACAGGCUCACCUUUUUGUUAGACAUGGAAGGGUAAUUUUUUAUUAUUUAUUUUUAUUGUGGCGUGAAUAACCUGCUAGUACAUAAUUUACAGUAAUUUAUCAGUUCUAAAGACUUUCUUCUUUGACACUUCAAUAAGUAUGGAUUUGGGAUCUGAAAUUUCUUUUCUCAGAUACAUCUUUUUAUGCUGUCUAUUGUGAAAACUUUUCACUGAAAAGUCUUUGAUGGUUCAGCAGUUAACAUUCUUUAUUUUUUCUCAGGGCAUUCUCCAAUCUCAGGGGCGAAUUUUAAAAAAAAUGAGGUUUAUGCCGUCCUCCUUAGCUUCAAAUUCUCAUAGGUUGUUAACUGCUCUCGUUGAUUCACGACACAAAAAGGUGUAUAAAGUCAAGAACUGCAUCACUGACAUUGACCCUGAGAGGGAGAAGGAGCAAAAAGAGAAGGUAUAUCAAUUAGCUAUCUGAUAUAUCUGGUAUUGAUCAUCAAGCUAACUGAUUUCAGUUCCAUUGGGUUUGUGGCUUCUCAGGCUGUUCAUCAGUCAAUUAAAGCUAAUGAACUUCUUAGCCGGAAGAAGGAGAAGGUCAGUCGUAAAUAUACACAGCCCAUCCGCAGGGAGCGCCAACUUUCCCCUGGUUUCCUAGAGGACGCACUUGAAGAGGUUGGAUACACACAUGAGCACACGUACAACACACACACACACACAUAUGUAAUAUUUUUUGAAGAUCCAUGGGAUGUCUUUUUGCGGACACCUUUCUUCCUUUUUUUAGGCUUCAUUAUGCUGCAAGUGUCUAAUGAAUUUCCUUUUCUUCCAUAAUGCUACCACAGUAAAAUUUUAUUUAUUCUGAAGUAAUCUUUUGUCAUUAUGGUUACCUAAUUAGGAGGAUGAACAAGAGUAUUAUGAACCACGGCGUUCUGCUGUUCGGCGUCGCUUUGAUGAUGACCUUGAAAUGGAAGCUCGAGCUGAGAAGCGCAUAAUUAAUGCAAAGAAGGCAUGUGAUUAUUACCAAUAUGAUAAAAAGGAAACAUCUAUACUCUUUCGAGUCUUUUUGUUGAAAAUCUUAUUUAUGCUCAACUGAAUUUCUACUGUUGGGGUUUGCUUUCAGGGACCAAAAGAUAUCCCUCGCAAGUCAACAUUUCAAGCUUCCAAAUCAUCUCGACGCCCAGUGGACUUCUCUGAAAGUGAGAAAGAGGAAUCCGAGUAUGAAACCGAGGGGGAGGAGGAAGGUUCACCGCCACAUAGAAGACAUGAGGAAGCAGAGCAAGAUUAUGGGGAUGAAGAUGAAGAACCAGAACAAAGAGAGCAAGAAGAAGCCUAUGAUGAAUCAGAAGAAGAAGCCGAGGUAAGUGAUGAUAAUGUUUCUGAAAUCAUUUCUGGCUGAUUUCAGUUAGUGGAAGCAACUGGAUAAAAUACUAUAACGGUCAACCCUUUUUUCUCAAAAAAAUUACUCGUAUUUCUUAAUCACAUUCUAAAUGGCCUAUUAGUUUCAGGGAUGGGGAAGUAUGUUGAAUAGCAAAUUGCUUUAAUCCUGUUGAAGAUCCAGAGUUUUACUAAUAUUGAUAAUUAUAUGUAGUUAACUGCUUGUAUUUGAUAUCUUCUUGAAGAAUAAAAUACUGUGGUCUGUAAGUGUUGACUUAGUUUUCCUACAGGAGCCAAAGCAGAAGGUUAGGGAUUCGGGAGGCAGCCUCAAAAGGAAGGGUAUUGAAUCUGAUGAGGACUCUCCUCCUAGGAAAGCUACUACUCAUCGGCGAAUGAAAAUGGUAUAUGAGAGUGAUGAGGACUAAAACAGGACUUCUGAGGAAGUAAGUUUUGUUUAAAUUUUAUUUUAGCAUGGGUUAUAUCCUUACUAUUCGUACAUUAUUAGGCUUAAAUAUCUGGUUUUGGGAUUUUGCAGGAGAACCUCUCCAUUUAUUGGCUAAUCUUUUCUAGAAUCUUUGGGCGACGAGCAGACAGUGAUUUCGGUUAAGUGCAAAUUUGUGGGGCAACAACUCAUGUACGUGCGCACUAUAUUAUCCUUGUUAUGUACCCGUCAAGUUUUCUGCCAAAUUUAAGCACAUUGUUGUAAUGGAAUUUUUGGUUAUAAUCAGGUUUUUAUAAUUGUAAAUGAUUUGUAGAACUGAAGCUAUAUUUAUGUACCCUUGUUGAAGUAAAUUUUUGGCCCUGAAUUACAAGAUCAUCGUUGCUUGAGAAUAUCUCAUCAUGUGGGAGCCUAUUAUAUAUGAUUAAUAGAGCUGCUGAUACAACGCAAAUUCCAAGAUGUUGAUUCGCUAUGGACAAAGGAUGAAUGCAAUCUACUAUCAACGUGUCGAAUGAGUUGUACAAAAUUUGCUAGAGCUCGAUUUUCAAUAAUAGACUUCUUAUUCAUUCUGGCGCAAUUCGAAAUUAACUGUGAAUCAACAAAUUGUUUGUGUUGUUCUAGAUUUCAGUUGAGCUUCUAUCUGCGUCGUACUGGAACCCCAAAUAAUAAAUAAUGGUAAUGCCAAAAAUGGCUCGAUUCUUUUAGUGGAAGUGGUGAUUCUCUCUCUCUCUCUCACACACACACACGUAUGAUACUAAAACGUGGGACGACUAAAAAAGAAAACUAAAAGUUGGGAUUGAGGGAAUAUAUUUAUAAAUAUGGUAAUUAAGUUUGUAUUAAUUUUAUAGACAUAUAGAAAUAUAAACAUGUUUCUCGUGCAUUGCACGAAAGCAAAUGAUAGUUUAAUAAAAAGUUCAAUAGUAAUUGUCAAAGUUUAGUAAUUUAUAGGUUUUUAUGCCUGCUAUUUAAUGUGACAUGUGUGUCACAUAUACAUAAUUAAGUCAUGUCAAUAAUAUGUCGUUUUUUAAUUUGGCCAAAAUUCAAAUUAAUUAAAUUAAUAAUUUAAUAAUUAUCACACUAUAAUUUAAAAUUUGUAUGUAAAGUUAAAAUUGGAUGAAAAUUUAUGAUAAAUUAACAAUAUAUAAAACUACCCGAAUUUCAAAUCAAGUUUUAUUUUGGUUGAAAUUAGAUCAAACUUAAUUAUGUUUUCUUUAAUCAACUAGAGGUGCAUUUACUUUAAUUGUAAAAAAAUUUAUUGGAAAAUGAUGAAUAAGAAAAUAUGUAAAAUAUUAUCUUUUUUUUUAUGAGCAGUAAUAUAUGCAGAGCAGAGGAAUCACUAUGGUCAGAGGAAUGGGCUUCGCCAGAGGAACGGGCUUAGUCAGAGGAAUCACUGUGGUCACUAUGGUCAGAGGAAUGGGCUUCGCCAGAGGAACGGGCUUAGUCAAAGGAAUCACUAUGGUCAGAGGAAUGGGCUUCGCCAGAGGAACGAGCUCAAUCAGAGGAAUCACCAAAGACAUAGGAAUGGCUUGUCAUUCAAGAUAGGCAGCGGAAUGAGUGACCGUUUUACCCGGGAAGCGCCAGAGCAGAGGAAUCGCUCGGAAUCGCUCGUCUGCAGGCAAAAUUACUACUAUACCCUUGACCACGCGGAGAGCAUGCCUUCAAAGAUGAAAUUACUGUUUUACCCUUCUAUUGUACUCUAUAAAUACCCUAUGCAUUCCCUUAUGUAAACAACGUGCUCUUCAUUCAAUACAACAACAAUUCCAUUUCUUUCUCGUAAAUUCAACCUUUUCUCUCAACUUUUACGCUUAAACACUAGGUAAUACUCGCAACUUAGAAUUAGGUGUUGAUAAGGUACUUUAUCAUUUUUAUUAUAUGUUUACUAAAGAUGAAAAAAAAAUUAUACAUCACUAUUCAAACCCAAAAAUAAUACUCAAUUUUAAAAAGAAAAUAUUUUUUAUCUCAUUUUUUGUCAAAGUAAACAAACCUAAGGAAAUCAUCAAAAGAAUUUCCCUUUUUAAGGGAACUCAUAUAUUCAUUUAAGCAAUUGAACUAGCAAUAAUAUUAUUUAAAUAUACUCCCUUCAUCUCACUCUAACAGUCUUAUUAUUAUUUUUUUUGGAUGUCUCGUUAGCAUAGUCUCAUUUUUACAAUAUUUUAAAAAUAAUUAUGCAUUAUUUUUUACAAAAAGUAAGUUAAGAGUGUUAGUUAAUUGGCUAAAAUAAAGUCAACCACGUCACUUUUCAUUCAAGAAACAACUUUUUAAUAGUUUCUCAUUGCAGGUAGCGACUGCUUCUUUUUUUUUUUUUUUUCCUGUGCUUAUUUUUCCUAAUGAACCAAAAAUUUAACUCAAGGGCACGCCAAAUGAGAAUAUAAAUAGGUUUGCCCUAAAACAUGUCAUAUAAAUUCACCUGAAGCUCUUAUGCAAACAAUAGAGAAUUGGUCCUUGCCUCAACAUCAACUUCUACUCAUCAAACCUUCCUCUUUUGCACGUCUCGUCUGAAAAAUAUGUGAGGGGAAACCCUCUUUUCAUGUGCAAGUUCUAGCUCCCCUCAACUUUAUUCGCAAGAUCAAGAUGGCUAUGCUGCUUAGUGAGGAUCUUUUGGUCCGUGAGAGUUGAAAAACAUGAUUUACGUCCUCUGCAUCACUGGGCCAAAUGUGCUCCUCAGAACCCUCAAGGUUGUGAUUGGAUUUGGAUGUCACUUUCUUGUCAUUAUUCUUCUGGUUACGUGAUGGAUCGUCUUCAGUUGUUUUCGAAUAAUUCAUGUUUGAACAAAUGCCUGUUACGCUUUUAUCUUGUCUCUUGGCGGCUUCUUCAGG
rnacentral:lncRNA from 1 species